rnacentral:tRNA from 1 species
GCGUUUGUGGUGUAAUGGUAGCACACUCGGCGUGUAUUCGAGAGGUCUAGGUUCGAGUCCCAGGGAGGGCA